UUGAAUUGUAUUGUGGAAAUGUAUUACCAACAGAGGUGCAGGUGCCAGCCUAUUGAAAUAAAGCGUCAAUGAGGGUGAGAAUCCUGUUUGUCAUGUGCAGCCCUUUGUGCACGGUGUAUAUUUGCUGAGUCACACUCCUUGGCAUUGGAAUGCAAAGUGGGUGGUAAGUUUCAUGUAAAGGUAAACAUGCAAUUGAGACUGAUAGCACACAAGUACCAUGAGGGAAAUAUGAAAAGGACUUUGAAAAGAGAAUUAAAUGAGUUUGUAUUUGCUGAACACAAAGUAAACAGACUUGAUUUGCUUGGUGGGAGUGUUGCACUUGCUUGACAAGAGCUUUGGGCUGUGGGUGUAAUGAUUCUUUCUUUGCAUGCCAGUUUCUAUUUGUACAUCUGAUUACCUUUGCACAUGAAUGAUAAGUCUCCUGUGGGGGGUGGAUUGCAUGUGCAUGUAAUGAUUUGUGUUUUGAUAAAUGUGUCUGGUGUAUGUGUGUGUGUUCCUGUGCUUGGGGAUGCUUCCUUCCUUGGACUUACAAGCCCUGACACACACAUGCUGGCAAAAUGCUUCUGCUUGACCCGUCUUGAAACACGGACCAAGGAGUCUAACAGAUGUGCAAAGUUUGAAGGUGGUAUACCUUUGUGUGCAAUGAAAGUGUCAGCUGGGAUAUGUGCACCAGCACCCAAUUAAUUAGCGGACAGAGGUUUGAGUUGGAGCAUAUCUAUUAGGACCCGAAAGAUGGUGAACUAUGCCUGAACAGAAUGAAUUCAGA
rnacentral:rRNA from 1 species